AGAAUAAAAUUUAGCUUAUAUAGGCAUGGUUGGAAAGACUCUACGUCAUCUAUGAAUAUAAUGUUUGUAUGUAUAUAUAAUAUUAUUGCAAUAAAGCAGUCUGAUUGCCAUCGCCUUCUUUAUUGCAAUAUGUGUUGAAACAAACACUAAUAAAUUUAGGUAGACUUAUUUCAAGGUCACUACUAACCCUCCAAAAUAAAUUAAUGUGACCCUCCUUGUUCAACUUUUCCCGCACUUUCUUGUCGGUCUUCUUUGCACAUCUGUAGUUUCAUCUACGACGAAGAGCCAAAACGCCGCCACAGUACAGAUGCUCUCGUCCGCUGUGAAGAUCCUUUCACAUUUCUCAGAAAACAAACAUAUCCUAACUCUUUUUGAAGUUUAGAGGAGUUCUAGGAAGAGUUUAAGGAUAUCAAUCAAGAGGAGCAGAUUUCAAGGGUGGUUAGGAUAAGUCGGAUGGGUGAAGCAAAUCUAGAAGCGGUUCUUCUUGCAUUGUGCUCAAAGCAAUUCAGCCAAGCAUAAGUGCCUGUGUCUUGUUUGCAGCUUAAUUUGGUUGCAAAGUAGAGUAAAAGACUGUGGAUAUUCUGAUUAUUUUUAAAUUUCAUCACCAAUGAAACAAGCUCUAACACUUUUCUUUUGUUUUCUAUGAAUCAGGGGUUUUUGAGAUAACCAGCAACUACUACAGAACAUCUGCACCUGAGUUGAAAGAGGAAAGAGCAAAGCCAUUGGAAGAGUGGCUGAACAUGGAAAGCAGUUUUGGUGAGAUUGAUGAUAUUAGUAUAGUCCAAGCAAAGCUGCCAAAAAGCUGAAAAAGAGGAGGCAGAUGGUGUCCGAGAUAUAAUUGUGUUCCAUUACAUUUUGUAAGCUUUCCUUGUUUGCCUGUGCUAACAAGUUUAAAUUGGCAGAUAUGAGGAAUACAUUGAUUACAUGUUCCUAGAGGAAACUCAGACGACUAAUCUUAGAAUAUUGGAAGCUGCAUAUAAGUGGAAGAAGCAAAAGAUUUCUGAUAAAGACUAGCAUGAUGUUUUUGUAGCUUAUGGCAAGUGACAAGCAAUUUGGGAGAGCCAUGUACAAGGAUUUUAAUAAUCCAACAUCACUUUUGUCCUCUUGAGCUUCUGAAGAUUUUAGUUUUACCAGGAUAUGGAUAUCUUCUUGGGAUAGUCAAUUGUUUGGCUCUGCAGCUUUGGUCCUAUGUCGUUUACAUAGGCCACCAUGUCCAUAUUAUAUCAAGAAUGGAAAAUCUGGAUCUGAAGACUUAAAACUAAGGAGAAGAGAAAGUGUUGCAAUAAGCAUGAUUUGCAACUAGGAAAGACUUGGCCCAGGGAAACAGGAAAAGGUAUUGGACAAAUGCUAUCACUUCGCAAUCCAAAAUCAGGUAUGUGCAACAAGAUUUAUUAACUCUUUUCUCUCUCUCCCUGCUCAUAUUAUCAGUUUUUUAGUUAACAAAUUUUUUUUAACAUAUUCUAGUCUUUGUCUGUAUUAGGUAUUGUUGAUCUGUAUUAUGAGUUUUGUUUUGUUUUGGAUUCUAGUCUCUAAUCAUCUUGAAACUUUUUAUGACUGUAAUUGAUUUGGAUUCUAUUUGUUUGUCUUUCCAGUAAUUUAAGCUAUAUAUAACUUUUUUUUUUUGGCCCGGUAUAGAUGGCCGCCAAUAUACUGCAACUACAGUUGAUCCUGAUUUUAUUUUUCUACCCAUUUUUGAGGAAGCUGGAAUGAAGCAAUAUUCAUUUGAAAUCAAUGCAAAAGAGAGAUAUCCAAGGAAGUUCAAGCAAUUGGAUGAGAUAUUCUUCGUUAGCAACUAUCCUGGAUAUCAACUUCUAUUGUCUAUCGCAAAGAAUUCUAGUUAAAAUAUUAAGUUCCUUUAGGUUAAUGUGAAAGUGUCUAUGUAGACUUUAAGAAUGAAAGAUUUAAUGAUUCGGAAAGCUAAUUGAAUUUUGUUUUAAUAUUUGUGUUUUGGUAUAAUAUAGAUUUUGUAAUAUGUGGUUAUAUAAAAUCUAUGUGCAUGGUUGUGUUUUAA